rfam:Gossypium raimondii chromosome 6, whole genome shotgun sequence.
AACCUAUGAUGAGGGCACCUUCUCAAAAGAUUCUUAAAUCUCUCCCAUGCCUCAUAUAAUAUCUCCAAAACAAUUUGAGCAAAAAAAGAGAUGUCGUUCCUCAACUU